AUUGAACGCUGGCGGCAGGCCUAACACAUGCAAGUCGAACGAGUGGCGGACGGGUGAGUAAUGUAUGGGGACUGCCCGAUAGAGGGGGAUAACUACUGGAAACGGUGGCUAAUACCGCAUACUAUCGGAUAACCCAUAUGGGAUUAGCUAGUUGGUGGGGUAAAGGCUCACCUAGGCGACGAUCCCUAGCUGGUCUGAGAGGAUGACCAGCCACACUGGGACUGAGACACGGCCCAGACUCCUACGGAGGCAGCAGUGGGGAAUAUUGGACAAUGGGGGAAAGCCUGAUCCAGCCAUGCCGCGUGUAUGAAGAAGGCCUUAGGGUUGUAAAGUACUUUCAGCGGGGAGGCGGUACCUGCAGAAGAAGCACCGGCUAACUACGUGCCAGCAGCCGCGGUAAUAC
rnacentral:rRNA from 1 species